UGUAUAAUCACUAAAGGGAGAAUUGAAAGUAAGUUUCAAUUCACAAUCGAUUUGAAAGAGUUCUAAUCCCCCACUGCCUCGCUAAAAGGAACCUAAUAGAUCGUACACCGUGUAAGGUAGAGAUUGAAGAAAUAAAGGAGAUGAGUAAGAAUAAUUAAAUGGUUUGAUUAUUUAUUUAUGGCAAGGAUUAAUUAAUAUGUUAAUUAAUCAAACGAAUAAAGUUCGUUAAAAGACCACGGGUUAGUUUUGGGCCUCAAGGCCCAAUGGGCUUCGAACGUCAAGUCCAUUAACUUAAGUUGUAUGACAACUUAAUUCACAAAGGCCCAAAAAGCCCAAUAGAACCCUAUGGCUGGCCAUUUAGAGGAAGGGUAGUGAACUUGCUUUAAUUACAAUUUUGCCACUCCAAUGAAUAAAGGUAUAAAUAUGACUUUAUAGCCAAAAUUCAUUUAGGGUUUUUCUUUUGGGGAAAGGAUGAGAACAUAAGCUCUCUUUUCUCUCUAAAGAGGCCGGCCAACCUUGGACGGAUUAGCUAGCAAUCUUUCUCCUCCAAGGUCACUCAUCUCUUCUUCACAUCUCACCUUGGUGUGGAGACUUAGAGGUUCUCAAUCCAUGGAGAAACCUAUUCUUCCAUCCAAAUCCAUGGAUCUAAGAAGCAAGGAAUGAAGGCCCUCUCCUUGGGUGAUUAGCCUUUGCUUAUGCAAAGAGGAAUCUACAAAGGUAUAAAUUUCUCAACUCACUUUGAUUUGAGUUGAGUCUUGGUUCACCUAACUACUAGGCUUUGAAUUUCAUGGGUAAUGUUUUGUUUUGAGUGCAUGCAAGCAUGAUUCCGCCUUUAAUUUGUUAAUUGCUUGCUAUAGAUGUUGCUCAAAUGAACAUGUUUUUCACAAAAUUUCCUUCAAUUAGUCACUACCUUGCAAGCUUUUGGGUUUUAAGCAUCGUUAUAUUCUAAACAGUUAACACUACCGUAUCAUCUCUACUAUAGAGACAAUCAAUUAGAUUACUAUAAUCCAAUCAUUGACUAAUAAAGAACAAUGUUUUGUCAAACAAAACAUUCAUCCAUCUCUACUAUAGUGACGGAAUUAAGUUCCUUAAAAUUGGAUUGUAAAGACAAUCUUUAGUUUUUCCAAUUUCUUUGGUAGUUCAUAUGAGGAAGUAAGUACUAUCUGCUUUCGCAGAGAUCUUUAUUUUAU
rnacentral:lncRNA from 1 species